GAGUAACACAUAAGUACUCUGCCUGCGUAGUACUACGCAAGUUUAAACAAAGGAAUUUACGGGAUCCCGCACAAGCGGUGGAUCAUGUUGUUUAAUUCGAAGAUACACGAAAAACCUUACCAGGUCUUGACAUUAUCCUGCGAAGCUAUAGAAAUAUAGGGGAGGUUAUCAGGAUAACAGGUGGUGCAUGGUUGUCGUCAGCUCGUGUCGUGAGAUGUUAGGUUAAGUCCUAAAACGAGCGCAACCCUUGUCGUUAGUUACCAGCACGUUAUGGUGGGGACUUUAGCGAGACUGCCAAUGAAAAAAUUGGAGGAAGGUGAGGAUUACGUCAAAUCAUCAUGCCCCUUAUGAUCUGGGCUACAAACGUGAUACAAUGGCUAUUACAAAGAGCAGCUGAAACGUGAGUUGUUAGCUAAUCUCAAAAAAAUAGUCUCAGUUCGGAUUGAAGUCUGCAACUCGACUUCAUGAAGUUGGAAUCGCUAGUAAUCGCGAAUCAGCAUGUCGCGGUGAAUACGUUCUCGGGGUUUGUACACACCGCCCGUCAAACCAUGAAAGUUGACAAUACCCAAAACCAGUCGCUUAACUACUUCGGUAGAGGGAGCUGUCUAAGGUAGGGUCGAUGAUUGGGGUUAAGUCGUACAAGGUAUCCCUACCGGAAGGUGGGGAUGGAUCACCUCCUUUCUAGGAAAUGUCGUAUCAUGAUCAUCUUCAGUUUUGAAAGACUUAGAGUAGAUAAGUUUUUCUUUUGGCGUAGAGGAAGGGCCUAUAGCUCAGUUGGUAGAGCACACGCUUGAUAAGCGUGCGGUCAAUGGUUCAAGUCCAUUUAGCCACACUCCUCC
rnacentral:rRNA from 1 species